rnacentral:rRNA from 1 species
CCUACGGGUGGCAGCAGUGGGGAAUAUUGCGCAAUGGGCGAAAGCCUGACGCAGCGACGCCGCGUGAGGGAUGAAGGUCUUCGGAUCGUAAACCUCUGUCAGCAGGGAAGAACGGUCACUGUGCUAAUCAGCAGUGAAUUGACGGUACCUGCAAAGGAAGCACCGGCUAACUCCGUGCCAGCAGCCGCGGUAAUACGGAGGGUGCGAGCGUUAAUCGGAAUUACUGGGCGUAAAGCGCUCGUAGGCGGUAUGUCAAGUCAAGGGUGAAAUCCCCGCGCUCAACGUGGGAACUGCCUUUGAAACUGGCAAACUGGAGUGUGUGAGAGGAGAGUGGAAUUCCAGGUGUAGGAGUGAAAGCCGUAGAUAUCUGGAGGAACAUCAGUGGCGAAGGCGACUAUCUGGCACAUAACUGACGCUGAGGAGCGAAAGCAUGGGUAGCGAACAGGAUUAGAUACCCUUGUAGUC